ACUCCUACGGGAGGCAGCAGUGGGGAAUAUUGCACAAUGGGGGAAACCCUGAUGCAGCCAUGCCGCGUGUGUGAAGAAGGCCUUCGGGUUGUAAAGCACUUUCAGCGAGGAGGAAAGGGUGUAAGUUAAUACCUUACAUCUGUGACGUUACUCGCAGAAGAAGCACCGGCUAACUCCGUGCCAGCAGCCGCGGUAAUACGGAGGGUGCGAGCGUUAAUCGGAAUUACUGGGCGUAAAGCGUGCGCAGGCGGUUUGUUAAGCGAGAUGUGAAAGCCCCGGCUCAAGCCUGGGAACC
rnacentral:rRNA from 1 species